UUUUCGAAAGCCUUUUGUGAGUAGUUGUCCAGCAUUCCUUCCUUGUUUGCCUGCCUGAUCUUGAUCUCGUCUUUCCCUGAUAUGCCUUGGCCACGUCAGAUACCUAAUUGGUUUCAGCUUUCUGGACAACAAUGUUUCUGCCUCCGGACCAACUCGCCCUGGCUAACCCCUGGAUCUGUCAGCCUGAAUCUUCCUCCCCUUCAUUUCUGUUCCCUGGACCAUGAUUCAAGCUUCUCCCUGUUGCCCAUAUCUGCUCGCACGGCUCUGACCCAGUUUCUGUCCCCUGACCACCGCAACCAGCUCAGUCACUGGGUUUCUAAACCCAAGCACCCGUGGGACGCUUCCGUACUUUUGCCCCAUCAAAACUCUGAGGAGCCAAAGAUCAGCUUCCUGGUUCCCUUACGGAUUCUGAGAAGAGGUUCCUGAGUCUGCCGCUGGGGGUUUCCUGCCUGACGACAUCCAGAGCUUAUGAUAAACUUUUUGAAUCUUACCUGUUGUGUCCAGUUGAAAUUUCAGGUUCUCAGAGUGACUCAUUACACUCAGGGGUAUCUGAGUUUAUGAUGUUUUUAACCACUGUCAAUGUAAAUUUGCAAAAGUAAAACACACUGGAGAUCAUCCGUA